UACGGGGGGGGCAAGCGUUGUUCGGAAUUACUGGGCGUAAAGGGCUCGUAGGCGGCCAACUAAGUCAGACGUGAAAUCCCUCGGCUUAACCGGGGAACUGCGUCUGAUACUGGAUGGCUAGAGGUUGGGAGAGGGAUGCGGAAUUCCAGGUGUAGCGGUGAAAUGCGUAGAUAUCUGGAGGAACACCGGUGGCGAAGGCGGCAUCCUGGACCAAUUCUGACGCUGAUGAGCGAAAAGCCAGGGGAGCAAACGGG
rnacentral:rRNA from 1 species